rnacentral:rRNA from 1 species
CCUACGGGGGGCAGCAGUAGGGAAUUCUCACGGGAGGGCAGCAGUGGGGAAUAUUGGACAAUGGGCGCAAGCCUGAUCCAGCCAUGUCGCGUGAGUGAUGAAGUCCGUAGGGUUGUAAAGUUCUUUCACCGGUGAAGAUAAUGACGGUACCCGGAGAAGAAGCCCCGGCUAACUUCGUGCCAGCAGCCGCGGUAAUACGAAGGGGGCUAGCGUUGUUCGGAUUUACUGGGCGUAAAGCGCCCGUAGGCGGAUUGGUCAGUUAGGGGUGAAAUCCCAGGGCUUAACCCUGGAGGUGCCUUUAAUACUGCCAGUCUUGAGUAUGGAAGAGGGGAGUGGAAUUGCGAGUGUAGAGGUGAAAUUCGUAGAUAUUAGCGAGGAACACCAGUGGCGAAGGCGGCUCUCUGGUCCAUUACUGACGCUGAG